rnacentral:rRNA from 1 species
CGGGACGGAUGAGUAACGCGUGGAAAACCUGCCGUAUACUGGGGGAUAACACUUAGAAAUAGGUGCUAAUACCGCAUAAGCGCACAGCUUCGCAUGAAGCAGUGUGAAAAACUCCGGUGGUAUACGAUGGUUCCGCGUCUGAUUAGCUAGUUGGUGAGGUAAAAGCCCACCAAGGCAACGAUCAGUAGCCGGCCUGAGAGGGUGAACGGCCACAUUGGGACUGAGACACGGCCCAGACUCCUACGGGAGGCAGCAG